rnacentral:rRNA from 1 species
GAUCAUGGCUCAGGACGAACGCUGGCGGCGUGCCUAACACAUGCAAGUCGAACGGAGUCAGGAAGCUUGCUUUUGACUUAGUGGCGGACGGGUGAGUAACGCGUGAGUAACCUGCCUCUGAGAGGGGAAUAACGUUCUGAAAAGAACGCUAAUACCGCAUAACGUAUCGAAGCCGCAUGACUUUGAUACCAAAGAUUUUAUCGCUCGGAGAUGGACUCGCGUCCGAUUAGUUAGUUGGUGAGGUAACGGCUCACCAAGACCGCGAUCGGUAGCCGGACUGAGAGGUUGAUCGGUCACAUUGGGACUGAGACACGGCCCAGACUCCUACGGGAGGCAGCAGUGGGGGAUAUUGCGCAAUGGGGGCAACCCUGACGCCAGCAACGCCGCGUGAAGGAUGAAGGUUUUCGGAUUGUAAACUUCUUUUAUCAGGGACGAAAUCUGACGGUACCUGAUGAAUAAGCUCCGGCUAACUACGUGCCAGCAGCUGC